ensembl:lncRNA
AAUUUGAUUUUACAUAUAGAUUUCAUAUCAGUAUGUCACUGGUAGAAAAACCUCUUGGUUAACACCACCAGUAUGUAGAAUUUGAGGUCUAGACAGACUCAGUUCCAGCUGAUUUUGUUGUGUUCUACUCUAACACUGGGGCUCCACACACCUAUUGUGGCUCUGUGGAAUCUCACUAUACCCCCCCUCAGUUAGUGAGGGAAACAUCAAUGGUCAUUAACUGUCUCCAGCAGGGCACUAGUCUCAGAUGUACCCCUGUUGUGAAUUCUGUGCAGUGUGGGUAGAAUUAUCAGUAGAGUUGGAAAUGCAUAGCGUAGACAUCCAAGGUCAGAAUGCACUGGCCAACAGUGUUUAUAUCAUCCAACUGGACACAAAUGAACACUCUGGGUGUUAAUCCAACACUAGGGAUUUUACUGUGUAGCUGGCAGUGGCACUAUUAGACAUAAUUCUGUCUUAACCAUGUUAAGAUGGAGGAAGUUACUGAGCAUUCAGUGUCUAAUGUACAGUACUUUCCACAUUCCUCAGCUUGUGAAGCUGGUGUCUGUCAUAUAGCUUUGCUGAAACUUACACACAAUUUUGAAUACUGUCAGUUUAAAUGGAUGCCAUUUAUGUUCUGACAUUCCAGUGGUCUGUUUUAAAUAGCAAGCAUGAUCUUGUGCCAAAUCUUUCAAGGAUCUGGGACAUCACUUCUGGGUGCAGAUUCCACUUUUCCGGGUGUGUCUGCUGCUGCGUUGUGCUAUCCCAUGUCAUGCCGCUGUGGUGAUGGAUUUAAUCACUGUGUGCUUUGCAGGUCUUGUGUAGUCAAUUUGGUUAGUUGUUGCAUGAGCUGAUGUAACAAUUAUACAAGCUGUGGUGAUAAUCACUAAGACCCUGGGAUCUGAUAGGUUGAUAGACAGAGGCGUAAUACUGUACAUCACGUUGAAUUAAGCAAACAAACACAAUGAACUCAUGUACAUGCAUUCGCCCAUAACAAGCUCCUAUUAUAUGUGGAAGAAGCAAGUUAGCAUUUUCCUUUGCUGGCAAAAGACCAAAUUGGGAGAAAACGGGGUUUAAAAAUGAUGGUUGAAUUGCUGAAAGUUUAGUACCUUCUCAUCCAUCCAUCUUCUACCGCUUACUCCUUUUCAGGGUCACGGGGAACUUGGAGCCUAUCCCAGGGAGCAUCGGGCACAAGGCGGGGUACACCCUGCCGGUGCCAGUCCAUCGCAGGGCACACAAUCACACACACUCUCACACCCAUUCAUACACCACGGACACUUGAGACACGCCAAUCAGCCUACCAUGCAUGUCUUUUGGACUGGGGGAGGAAACCGGAGUAACUGGAGGAAACCCCCGCAGCACGGGGAGAACAUGCAAACUCCACACACACAUGGCCCCGGCAGAACUCGGACCCCGGACCCUGGAGGUGUGAGGCAAACGUGCUAACCACUAAGCCACCGUGCGCCCUAAAAUGCAAACUAUAUUUGUUUCAAGUUUUUAAUAAAACCACUUGGG